rnacentral:rRNA from 1 species
GACCUCAGAUCAGGUAGGGAUACCCGCUGAACUUAAGCAUAUCAAUAAGCGGAGGAAAAGAAACCAACAGGGAUUGCCUCAGUAACGGMGAGUGAAGCGGCAAAAGCUCAGAUUUGGAAUCUGGCGUCACCUUCUGGCGUCCGAGUUGUAAUCUGCAGAGGGGCAUUCGAGUGUGGCGAUGGCUUAAGUUUCUUGGAACAGGACGUCAUAGAGGGUGAGAACCCCGUUAACGGCCCUUUGUCUUAUGCUCAUGUGAAUCUCCUUCGACGAGUCGAGUUGUUUGGGAAUGCAGCUCUAAAUGGGUGGUAAAUUCCAUCUAAAGCUAAAUACUGGCAAGAGACCGAUAGCGCACAAGUAGAGUGAUCGAAAGAUGAAAAGAACUCUGAACAGAGAGUCAAAUAGUACGUGAAAUUGUUGAAAGGGAAGCACUUGCUACCAGACACGCCUGCGGUCGAUCAGCCUUCACUCUGUGAUGGUGCACUCGGCCUGCAUUGGUGGGUCAGCAUCAGUUGUGGCGGCGGGAUAAAGGCCUGGGGAAUGUGGCUUCUCUCGGGAAGUGUUAUAGCCCUGCGGCGCAAUACCGCCUGCACGCGA